rnacentral:lncRNA from 1 species
CUUUGCUCUCGCAGGCUCUAGGCGGCUAGAGAGGCUCCAGAGCGCCCUGCAGAUGGGUUGCUUUUCGCGUGCCCCUUGUGAUGGGAGGAUUAGGUCGCAGGCUCCACCCUACGUCAUCCUCCCAAGCUUCUCAAGCGUCUGGCGCUUGGGGUCACUGCCCUCAAGGAGGCACCUGGAGGGGGGGAUGGCGUCCACUCCGAUGGGGAAUGAGGGGGAGAAGAAGAGCAGCUGGCCAUCUCAAGCUGCACCCUCCUUGAGAGGAGGUCCGCAUUCUUCACCAAGACCUGAGGCACAGACACCUGGUGAGUGAGGCUUCAAGGGAGAUGCUCUUUGUCCUGGGAGAGAGCCCUCUCCCCUCUCUUCCACCAUCUCCUGCUCGGACAGAAACCGUACCUGCAGCAAGGCAUACCUCCUGCCAACUCCUGGUGAAAAGAACAUGCCUCAAAACUACUCUUUUGCCACUCGUUAACCACUUCCGUUUGUGGGGACCUCCUGGUCAUGAGCAGCAUCAUCCCGAAGCCUUCAAAGUGUUCUGGAUUCAUCACAGGACCCUCCAGCCUCAGCCAGCAAGGAUACCACCAGGAAUGAAAGUGCUUUAAUAAAGAGACAGGGUGUGCAUU